GCUUCACUGCAGGCUGGCAUUGGGUUCGGGCUUUUCUUGCGCAGUCUAGGUGGGAGGCUUUGAAGGUUUCCUUCCGGGGAAGCUGGAGCCAUCAGUGAGAGACCACUCUGGAAAGGCUAGAAUCCUAAUGGUGAUCCUUGAAUCAGGACACUUGACAUUGUCAGCUAGACAGUUUUUCUGGGGCGGAAGGCUCCUAAAAGGUAACGGAGCUGUGCAAAGGUUCCCUCAGUCUGGACGGAAAUCAGACGUGGAGUGUAAAGGCAAAAGGGAGCUUGACUGCAAGACCUACAAGUCGAGCAGGAGCGAAAG
rnacentral:rRNA from 1 species